AGAAUAGCGUAGCAAUGGAUGACUGUCUGAAGGGGAACUGUUGAUCUAACUUUAGGAGUAACAGCCUCAGUGGAGACACUCAUGGAAGAGAAGCAAAACAUCUCCAAAGCUGGGCAGCAGUUCAGCUAUUAUUUUUUCCUCUCUUCCAACCUAUGAAUAGUUCAAAUCACCCCUGUAUUUAACAUCAGGGAUAUGCUUACCUGACUUAAUUGAAUUGGGACAUUACAUGGAAAAAGACUUUAUUGAAUUAUGACUUACCUACUGCUUUCUGUUGGUGCUACCAAAGAAUCAGGCUGAGCCUGUGGCACUGAGUGCAAUCAGCAUUUAAAAAAGGAAACAGUACAAACCCAGAUUCUUCCAGUGUAAGCUCCCAGUGCAGGAAGCUUCUUGCCAUGUCUUUGACUGGCACUGGAAUGAGGAAACUCUGCCUCACCUUCAACAUUCUGUGCACUCUGUUGGAAUGAUACUAAAAUAAGUGCUAAAAGUAGUUGGCCAGUUCUGUUGAGGCCUUUCAACCAAAUAUUAUUUUUGGCUGUUUUCAGCUUUUUCUCAUUGUGCAAGAUUGUAGGUUUAAAUAUGUUAUUAAAAUAAAUUAUUUUAACAGUUCCUGUAUAAACAUACCUAGUUACCAGCUAAAACAUGAUUUUUUAUGUCUAGGGGGAAUUCCAGUAAGAACCGAUGUAAUACUUCUGCUUGUGAAGCAGACAGGCAAGGUAACCUUUGUCACCCCUGGGCUGUGCUGCAAAGCAUAUCUUUGUGUCAACAGGGUAAGGUGACGUGUCCUCAUCAUUGAUGCAAGUGUUCUGGCAGUUUGGAGAACUACAGUUUGCAAAAUCAGAAGCUAGCUUUGUGAUUUUCACUUGGGGUCGGAUGAUGGGAACAGAUAACUCACUUCAGAUGAACAAAAGGAAAGAAAAUCAAAUUUAAAAUGAACUAUGUUUCUGACGUAUUUUCUACAUGUAGAGAAAAGCCAAACCUAAUACGUAUUCUGACCAAAGGCCAAACACUCAGCCUUGGCUGCAUAUGCUUGGCUCUCAUUGUCGGCAGCAGCAACUCUGAGUAUAUCGAAGGUCAGAACUAAACUCUAAUUUGAGCUUAGUUCAAUAUAACCACAUGAUUUCAUCAGCUCCACCUAAGUCUAAUAAAGUAGAACUUAAGCCAGCAUACCACUGAUCAAUGUGUUUCAUGUAUAAGAUGCAGAACUUCAUUUAAAUAAAUGGCAGCCCAAGGAAAUGAAAGUAGGUGUAAACCGAAUUAAUGCCUUGCUGCACAAAAUGUAAAAAUCCCAGCCAUUUAUCACAGUGUAGCUUAGUUAUUCUGAGUGCAAGACAGUAAAUCUGAAGGAAUAAGAGAUGUGCUAAGAAACCAGACGUUAAAGCUACAGAAGCAGAAGCGACUGAUGGGUUAGUUUAAAUCAAAUGUUGCCUCAGCUACACUGCAAAAGCAAACAGUCUUAAUCCUUAAGUGCUGAAGAGUGCUGGACAUUUCCAGUUCCAUCCAAGAGAAAAGUAGACAAACUGUUCUCCAGUCCUUCUACCACUGAGAGGAGUGUUUUCCCUUUCCUGCUGCCUUGAAUUAGCUUUGCAUCCUCUGUUUCAUCUGUGCCUGCCAUGGCAUCAGACUACAGUGGAUCUUCUUCUUCCAGAACAUCACAGUUUUUGUUCCAUCCUCUGUCUCGGAUAUACCUUAGGAAGAUGACUGUAUGAAGCAUAGGCUUUGACA